rnacentral:miRNA from 1 species
UUCUUCAGAGAGUUUUAGUCGUU